AACUGUAUAUAAGAGAAGCUCCACAUUCAGAGCAACACUACAACAACCUCCUCGAACAUCUGCGAGACAACCUGCUGAAGUUGUAAAGACUUGAAGGUGUGAUCACUGUAACCAUGCUGAAGGUAGUAUUUUUGCUUGGAUGCCUCCUGAGCUUCGCUCUGGCUCAUCCUACGGAUAUGGAGCACAAACGACUUGCUCGGUCAAACUCUGACUCUAACUCAAAUUCCAAUGAGCCUUUCACCUUUCCCCCUAUGGUGACUACCCCGGCUGCGGUGACUAUCCCACAGUGGGUCAGGGACUUACUUGCCCUCCUCCAACCAACUCCUAAAAAGUAAUAUGAAAACCUGCAUUGGAUGGCAUAGAAUUUUGACAAAUGUUUUUUUUUUUUCUCUUUUCCAGUUUAAAUGUCUUACAAUAAGUUUAAUUAAACAUGUGGAUCAAAAUCACUUUAUUCCCUGUAGUAGCUGACAAAUAAACCGCAUAUGGAAAACAUGGACC